rnacentral:rRNA from 1 species
GACGAACGCUGGCGGCGCGCCUAACACAUGCAAGUCGAACGAGCGAGAGAGAGCUUGCUUUCUCUAGCGAGUGGCGAACGGGUGAGUAACGCGUGAGGAACCUGCCUCAAAGAGGGGGACAAAAGUUGGAAACGACUGCUAAUACCGCAUAUGCCCACAGGUCGGCAUCGACUCGAGGGAAAAGGAGCAAUCCGCUUUGAGAUGGCCGCGCGUCCGAUUAGCUAGUUGGUGAGGUAACGGCCCACCAAGGCAAAGAUCGGUAGCCGGACUGAGAGAUAGAGCGGCGACAUUGGGGGUGGGACGCGGCACGGACUCCUACGGGAGGCAGCAGUGGGUGAUAGUGCACAGUCGGGGGAGCGCUGAAGCAGCUACGCCGGGAGGAGGAAGAAGGUCUGCGGAUUGUAAUCUCCUGUUGUUGAGGAAGAUAAUGACGGUACUCAACAAGAAAGUGACGGCUAACUACGUG